UACGUAGGGUGCAAGCGUUAAUCGGAAUUACUGGGCGUAAAGCGUGCGCAGGCGGUUUUGUAAGACUGUCGUGAAAUCCCCGGGCUUAACCUGGGAAUGGCGAUGGUGACUGCAAGGCUAGAGUUUGGCAGAGGGGGGUAGAAUUCCACGUGUAGCAGUGAAAUGCGUAGAUAUGUGGAGGAACACCGAUGGCGAAGGCAGCCCCCUGGGCUAACACUGACGCUCAGGCACGAAAGCGUGGGGAGCAAACAGG
rnacentral:rRNA from 1 species